UACAGAGGUCUCAAGCGUUGUUCGGAUUCAUUGGGCGUAAAGGGUGUGUAGGUGGCGCGCUAAGUCGGGUGUGAAAUUUCGGAGCUUAACUCCGAAACUGCAUUCGAUACUGGCGUGCUUGAGGACUGGAGAGGAGACUGGAAUUCAUGGUGUAGCAGUGAAAUGCGUAGAGAUCAUGAGGAAGACCAGUGGCGAAGGCGGGUCUCUGGACAGUUCCUGACACUGAGACGCGAAGGCCAGGGGAGCAAACGGG
rnacentral:rRNA from 1 species